rnacentral:rRNA from 1 species
ACUAACCCCUCUUAACAGCUAGCCCACUGCCUGAAUUAAACAAAUAAGUAUUAAUUAACCCCAAAUACCCUAAAAUAACAAAACAAACCAUUUUACCUCCUUAGUAUAGG